AUACGUAGGGGGCGAGCGUUGUCCGGAAUGAUUGGGCGUAAAGGGCGCGUAGGCGGCUUUGCAAGUCAGUAGUGGAAGUCCAUUCUUCAAGGAUGGAAGUGCUACAGAAACUGCGGAGCUUGAGUGCAGGAGAGGUUAUCGGAAUUCCCGGUGUAGCGGUGAAAUGCGUAGAGAUCGGGAGGAACACCAGUGGCGAAGGCGGUUAACAGGCCUGCAACGGAACGUGAGGCGGGAAAGUUGUGGGAGCAAACAGGAUUAGAUACCCUUGUGGGCCACACUGUAAACGAGGAAUGCUAGGUGGAGGAAGUAGCCCACCCAUCUGUGCCGCAGUAAACACAGUAAGCAAUCCGCCUGGGGGGUUCGGUCGCAAGAUUAAAACUCAAAUGAAUUGACGGGG
rnacentral:rRNA from 1 species